GGGAGCGAGUUUGGAAAGGGAGCGCUUUAUUGAAGAUCAUCCCUUCAGAGAACCACGGGUCACAAGCACUAAAGUGCUGCAACAAUCCUCAGAAGAUUCCACUACUGAGAUGAAUUCACAUCCCCUGCACCACUCACCACAGGUGAGCUUCUCAUCCAUUCCAGAGGGCCCCUUCCCUUCCUUCAGCCCCUUAAUCUCUCCCCAGCAAAGGUGCUAGCUGCAUUUCAAUCACCUGGCCCCAGCUGCUGGGGGUUCUAUAUCAGGUGUCACCUAAACCCGGAACCCCUCACCCCCGGUCGUCUACUUCAAACUCUGACACACAGCUAACGGAGGAGGAGGGGGGGGACUGGACGUUUCGCUCUUUUUCUCCUCCUCUAUCUCCUUUCCUUUAGCGCAGCUAGGUUCCAACGGCUGUUGUCGCCGCACCGCCAGCCCGCGCAGCCCCGCCGCCAGGGCUGCCCCCCCACCCCGCCUUUCACGCUCGCCGUGCCCUGUGAUUCCAGGGGCCUCCCCGCUCCCGCUCCCCGUCCAGCUCCUCGCCUGUUGGCGGGGCAGUGCCCCUACAGCCCCCCUCGGCCUGUACCUUCUCCGCAGCUUCCGCCAUGGCGCGGCCAGCUAGCCGUCAUGUGAGGGCAGGAAGGCGGAGGGCGGAGGCACCUGGGUUUCACUAGCCAGAGAAUCCUGGUUCUCAAAGUGACUGGUGCAGAUUGGCUUGAGUCCAUUGCUUUUUCAUGAGAUUUCGUGAAUUUUAAGUACCUAUUUAAGUUCCAA